ACCAAGCCUGAUGUUGACCGCUAUUUCAAUGAAUGCAGCAGUGUGACAGCUAGCAAUCAAAAGUAACAAGAUAUCGAGGAAAUGCAGAUGGCAAUAAACUGUGUAGGAGUUCAUGAUUGCAAUAGAAUAAAAUCGACCAAGCCUGAAGUCAGCAGCCCCUUCAAUGAAUGCAGCAGUGUGACAGCCAGCAAUCAAAAGUUACAAGAUAUCGAGGAAAUGCAGAAGGCAAAAAACUGCGUAGGAGAUCAUUAAUACAAAAGUAUUAUAUAAACCAAACCUGAUGUUGCCAGCUCCUUCAAUGAAUGCAGCAGUGUGACAGCCAACAAUCAAAAGUAACAAGAUAUCGAGGAAAUGCAGAAGGCAAAAAACUGCGUAGGAGAUCAUUAAUAC